rnacentral:rRNA from 1 species
AACGCGAAGAACCUUACCUACCCUUGACAUCCUUCGAAGGCUGCAGAGAUGCGGCUGUGCCGAAAGGAGCGAAGAGACAGGUGCUGCAUGGCUGUCGUCAGCUCGUGUCGUGAGAUGUUGGGUUAAGUCCCGUAACGAGCGCAACCCUUGUCCUUAGUUGCCAGCACGUAAAGGUGGGAACUCUAAGGAGACUGCCGGUGAUAAACCGGAGGAAGGUGGGGAUGAGGUCAAGUCAUCAUGGCCUUUAUGGGUAGGGCAACACACGUGCUACAAUGGUUGUUACAAAGGGAAGCGAAGCUGCGAGGCGGAGCAAAUCUCAAAAAGGCAAUCGUAGUCCGGAUUGGAGUCUGCAACUCGACUCCAUGAAGUUGGAAUCGCUAGUAAUCGCGGAUCAGAACGCCGCGGUGAAUACGUUCCCGGGCCUUGUACACACCGUAGAGAC